rnacentral:rRNA from 1 species
UGGGGAAUAUUGGACAAUGGGGGCAACCCUGAUCCAGCGAUGCCGCGUGUGUGAAGAAGGCCUGCGGGUUGUAAAGCACUUUAGUUGGGGAGGAUUGCGUUGUGGUUGAAAGACUAUAGCGUUGACGUUACCCAAAGAAUAAGCACCGGCAAACUCUGUGCCAGCAGCCGCGGUAAUACAGAGGGUGCAAGCGUUAAUCGGAAUUACUGGGCGUAAAGGGCGCGUAGGUUGUUAUACAAGUCAGAUGUGAAAGCCCUGGGCUUAACCUGGGAAUGGCAUUUGAAACUGUAAGACUAGAGUGAAGUAGAGGGUAGCGGAAUUUCCGGUGUAGCGGUGAAAUGCGUAGAUAUCGGAAGGAACACCAGUGGCGAAGGCGGCUACCUGGACUUCAACUGACACUGAGGCGCGAAAGCGUGGGUAGCGAACAGGAUUAGAUACCCCAGUAGUCCCUGAGCGGGCUGGCAAGGCGCAU